UUCUCUGAUAACUUACUUGCCACCAUGAGGGCAUCAGCCUUGGAGCAGAGAAAGGCUUCAGCCCAUCAGGAAAGCAUACACACAAUAACAAGAGCAUCUUGGUAACCCUGGUGACCAGUGCCAAGUGGCAGUUGGUUGAAGUCCAGUUGCAGGUGUUCAGAGGGUCCAGAAGGAGGAGCUCACCUGAGGCCCCCGGGAACAAGAAUAGUUUCUCCAGGACUGUGGACUGGGUAGGUCAGACCCUGUUGGUAGACUAGUUUUGCAGUUUUGCAGAACUCUCCCUGCCGUUUGAUGUACAAGUUGACUCAUCUUAAAUGCACUCCGGGGAGUGAAGAGUUGCAAAAACUGAAAAAUAGGGUUUGCCAGGGAGCUGGCAAGAACCAGGAGGCUGUCUUGGAUUUUCCGCAGCACUGACUAUUCAUUAAAUUUACAGCCAUUGUUUAUCCAUGUCAACUUCUCUGAUUCGGGGUCAGACCCAAUGUUGCCAUGUUGCAAGGACAUCAGAUGACAAAAGUCUGGUAGUGAGGGGUCAUUUUUGGCAGAUGCAGAGUGGACUUCUUCCACACAUGGCACGGCCUUUAGAGACUCUGACGCUGCUGCCUCCACGUGAAGGUCAGCGGGGCUAUUGCCCUGGUACCCAGCUUCACGCCUUUUAGUGUGGCUCUCGCUUUGGACGACACCAGUCUAGGAAGCAAGAGAGCAACAGAAUGGAGAUCAUUGACUUGUUGUCCAUUUUUGACUGGAGCCUCCGGGGACAUUAGAAGUCUCCUUUGGUUCCAUAACAUCCCCAACUCAUGGAUGACCCUGAAGGCAUCUCAUCUCUCAGUAGAAAUACUCAGAGCUUAUCCUUCUGGUCACUGUUGUGUGGGGGAAGUUGUGGAGCUUGGCCUGUUGGGCUGAUCUAGUGUGUGGGAAGGUUCCCUUUCCUAGGAGUUAUUCUGGGACAUGACAGCAAGAACCGGCUCAAAUAUCUCUGCUUUUAACCGGAUGACCCAUCAACUAAACAAGAUUAGAUCAGGGUUGGUUAAGGGGUGUCUCACAGAUCAGGUGUCAUGAAAUGAGGUGUUAUUACCCUCCAGUCACAGGGCUCGACUUGUCAGGGAGAGGCUGUAAGGUAGCAGCGUGAGGAAUGUUGCAGAGUUGAAAAUGCAGGUGAGGUGGUGAGAGCAGAAGGCUCUUAUAGGGAGAUGCCUCCUUGCGGAGAAAUGCUGAGACAGUGCAGAGUUAAAAAGACUUUGGAUAGGGCGUGAAUUUGGACACAAGCAUCAUUUUCAUGGUUCAGCUCUGCUGAGGCUUCCCCAGCCUUAAGACUGUGGGGUGGACACGCCGUGGGUCAGGUGGUCUGCUGCAGUAGGCUGUGUUUUAUUACCAAGUUCUUCCUUUGCACAAGUAAAGUGAAAAGUUUUCAACAGUUGGGUAGCCCUAGGGCAGGUGGCUCUCACAGUGCUUGUUUGAGCCUUAGAAAAACCUGCCUGGGUUCAUCUUCCCAAGGAAGGGGUUCAGGGACUGAAACUUGCUGAAUUUCAUGGAAUGGGGAACCCAAUGGGGAAGAAUUGGGAACCCAGGGUCUGCGAGAACCAGCCAAGCCUGGGAUCCACCAAGCUGUUUUCUUAGUCAUGGUCCAGGAAAUCCUAUAUCAACCUCAUUCUUUUUGGAGAUAGUGGAAUCCUUCAGCGUUUAGACAGCGACCUAGGUAGUGAACAGUGUCUAGAGGUGAUUGUCAUUUUUCCCUAGAGACAUUGUGUCCCUUUGCAGCGCACCAUUGGAGCAAAUACAUGGAGGCUUUUGUGGACGCCUCUUGGGUAGCUGAGCUCAGCAGCGGGUUGGGUCUUUGGCAUAUUGUGAAAGGGUCGCUUUCCCAGGAACUGGAGGGUGCUCAUGUCUUGACAGAGCCUUUGGGGCCUCAGCGAGCCCACGGGGCAGGCAUGCAUGUAUCGCUGGUUGUUCCAAGUCAGGGCAGUGGGAGAUUGGCUGGUGGGGUCUAAGGGAUGCUGAGAAAGGCAGGACAGGGGUCCAUGGUGUGAAGCAUUUCAAGUCAGGUGGAAUCUUCGACAGAGGGUGUUGGGCUCAGAACACCUGGAAGAGGGUUAACUGUGGCUGACCCUUGACCAUCAUGACCAGCAUGGGUCCACUUAGGUAUGGAUUUCAUUUUCAAUAAAUAGUACUAUGGUGCUAUGCACUCAGAGCUUGGUGGCAUCUGGGGAGGUGGAACCACAGAUAUAUGGGGGUCAGACUGUAAAUUACAUGCACAUUUCAGCUGCAUGGUGGUUGGCACCAUACUAAUGCCCAUGGUGUUCAAGGGUCACCUGUAUCCUACUAGUAGCUCUUGGGCCCCGGACUGAUCACCACUGCCAUCAUUAAGUUUCCAGACCAGCGGGACGAACAAGCUGCAGGGCUGGUGCAGGGAGGGAUGGGCUCUUGGGCCCCAGUCCCCUGCUUUGACUGUGGGGCUUGGGUGGCCUCAGACUUUGAUGGAUGGUGAGGUGACCUGGGGAGAGUUGGAGCAUCUCCUGGAAGCUUUAGAGGGGCCACACUUUUAAUUCUUUCAAUGCUAGUCAUUACAAGUAACCUGCACAUGCUUGGCUGUGUCAACUAAACUCGGGGCGUUGUGUUCAACUUCUUUGUCCUCUGUGACCAGGACAGACUACAAGGACCAUGAAAGAUCCGUUUGAGGUUGGUCUGGAAAUCCUAAAACGAGGUCUCUUUGGGAAGCCAAACCUAUUGGCCUUUUUAAUUUGCAAAGGAGAUCUUUGCCUAGAAGGUUGGAGGCUGGGUCACGUAGCGCAAAGGAAUGUUUUUCAGUGAAAUGCCCAAGACUCAUGUCUACCAGUUGAGAUCAAAAUUCUCUCUUAACUUUACUAGAUAGCCCCACUAUGAAAAUCCCCUUUUACUCUGAGGGUUCUCUUGGCCUGUGAAGGUGGCCAAGUAGAAAAUGCAGCUCUGGUAUCAACAAAAAUUUGCCUUAAGUUUCCCAUUAAUUUUAUUUUAUUUUAUUUUUUGUCUUUCUGUCUUUUCUAUGGCUACAGCUCCGACUGGACCCUUAGCCUGGGAACUUCCAUAUGCUGCGGGAGCAGUCAAAGAAAAUGGCAAAAAGACAAAAAAAAAAAAAAAAAAAGAGUGGAGACGGUAACAAAAGUUUUGAUAAUGCAGUAUUGGCUUUUCUUUUUGCGAGUAUACCAGUCCUGCCAUAUUCUGCUGAGAAUUUUUGAAUAAAGAUGUUGUAUUGCUUAGCAACAAAGAAGGGUUGUUUUCUUCCCCCUUUUGUAGCUGUCUCUCCAGUAGUAACUGGUUUACUGGCAGGGAAAACCUUACUAAAGCUUUAGGGACUUGACACCUGAGGUCAUCCAGUCAAUAGGUACCAAGGGUGUGGUAGCUAUGUCAGUUGACCCACGUGUGAGAGAGUCACACUCACUGACACCUCUUCAAAUAGUGGCAGAUGUUUCUUACGGGUCUGCCAUGAUCGUACCUCUAAAUAAUACUGGUUUAAAGGGAACAUCAUCCAUGAACCCUGGGAAUAGGAGGGUUGUAGGGGGUUAAUUUGAUGCUUGGUACCCUCUGCCCCCCAAGGCUAUGACACCCGAUCCCUGUGUGGUAGGAGAGCCACACCUGUUCUCACUCCUCCUAAAAGGAGAUGUUCUAUACAGGGUUCACGCCACUGCAUUCACUGCCUCUUCUAUGUGGUAUCUUGACUGAGCUCCUUCCAGACUCCACCAUUAUUAAAGGACCCAACCAUGUCCAACCAAGCAACUUACUAAUCCACCAUGUGUCACAAGACCCCAGCCUCCACUUGUCAUCCUGUGUGCAUUUCUCUAUCUGCAGCUUCUCCCCCAGCCCUGCUCUCCUGCAGGUUUCAAGCCCUGAUCUAUCUACCUGAUCCCAGGUGCCGUUACCAGCAACGCUAGUGGGGCAGGAAGGGUUAUUAUUGGCAAUACGGUUACAACACAACUUUUGGGCCAACAAAACAUGAUAGUAUUUUUAAUGUAUUAAUCCUGUAAAUGAAAAAUAUAAAUAAAUGUUCUGGGCUAAUUGAAGCCAGAGACAUUGCCUAAGCAUGGACAUUUUUUGACAAGACCAAAUAUCAAGGGCCAUUUGAUGUGGACCAAAGGUCUCAGUGACUGUUUAGGACAGGACCAAAUAUCUGCUAAUCAUAUUAUUUGUCAUAUAUACUUUUAGUAUAUAACUUUUGGAUUUCCAGUUGGAUCAAACUGUGGAUCUUUGUUUUAGUGUAGUUAUGUAUGUGUAUGGAUGGAUGACUUUAAAAUUGUUAUUUUACCAGCACUAAUGCGUUUAUUCAGUAGCUGAUUUUUUUUUUUUAAUAUGAGAUACAACGUACACCUUUCCCUGUUGAGGCCUCCGCUCGUAAUUGAUGCUUCUUUCUUGUGGAUGAUUCACCUGUUGGGGUCUGUAAUUGACAGUGCUUCCUAUCGUUGAUGCUGGAGUGGUCCUGCAUGAACAGCCCUUUUGGCCUCCCCAUUCCACUUUAGUGAGGUUUCCCUUUUAAAAUUUUCGUUAUCUAUAUUUUGUUAUUAAAUUUUAAAUUUCAUGCAAACAUCAUAAAUUAAGUAUAUAUUUUAUGAUGUUUGCAUUAAAUUUAUACACAUAUACACACAUGGAUGGAUAGGUCUCUAUGUACUUACCUUUUAUUUUUUUCCCUUGUACCUAGGGGGAUAAUUCUUCUUUUUCCUCUUUUUUUUUUUUUUUUUUUUGUCUUUUUGCCAUUUCUAGAGCCGCUCCUGUGGCAUAUGGAGGUUCCCAGGCUAGGGGUCUAAUCAGAGCUGUGGCCACUGGCCUACACCAGAGCCACAGAAACGUGGGAUCCGAGCCGUGUCUGCAACCUACACCACAGCUCACAGCAACACCAGAUCCGUAACCCACUGAGCAAGGGCAGGGAUUGAACCUGCAACCUCAUUGUUCCUAGGCGGAUUCGUUAACCACUGAGCCAUGACGGGAACUCCAAUACUUCUUUUUCUUAAAAAAUUUUUUUUUUUUCCUGUUUCAAGCCUCUAGUACCCUGAAGCUGAGGUUUUUCAUUUCUGUCUCUGGCUGAUUGGAGGGAGAAGGCUGUCGGGGUAGGGAAUCAGAUGGGCCAAUCCAAUUACAUAUGCCAUCAGGUGCCAGUAGGGGGAUCACCACGAACAUCAGCCUGGACCGAAGUACCUGUGCGGAAAUGAGGACCAUAGCGGGGCAGACCUUUGAGGUCCUCCCCGUCAGCCGGGGCUCCUUGGUGAAUCUAGUUGGUGGGUCAGGAGUAGUCAGGGGCAGGCCCCUCUGUCCAGCACACCUGCUGCAGCAGUUAUGUUAAAAUGUACCCAUGGGACUUUGUGGAGGUGACUGAGUGACAUGGAGAGGCCAGUGCCCUGCCACCGAGGGCCACAGGGAGAAGAAUCAGAGCCCAUCAGGAGGCAGAGGCUGGAGGGAAGAGGGAGCACAGGGCAAAGAAACAGCCAGGGAUAGGCUGGUCUGGGUAAUGUUUGGAGCACCUGGCUCAGGGGUGGUGUCUCAUGGGCUGGUCCUGGCCCUGGGUGAUUGGGGUAGAAGGAGUACUGCCUCCUGGAGGGUCAGAGCCAGACAGAGGAGGUGGCUCAGAGGGUGGGCACUGGAUUGGGUGGUUUUCCUGUGAAAGUCAUGCUUCUUGGCGAGCCCCUUGCUCUAAGAUUUGGCUACUCUGGGAGGGGCAGUCUCUCCCCGAAGGAAGACCCCCAAGAUGUCAAAAUGUCACAAAAUAUGAAAAAAAAAUGCAUGAUUAAACAAGCUUGUUUUAGUAUUCUGGCUGCAGCCUCUGUAAGAGCUUUGUGCUCUGGACAUGAGCAGGUAUUUCUAUGCAGGGGUGGGCCUGGGCCUGCAGGCACUGCCCUCUGUGGGUGCAGACCCACUGCUGUAGUCAGGCAGCAGCAGGACAGCUGUGCAGAGCAGGGGGCUCCCAGCAUGUGACAGUCCCCAGGUAGAAAGAUCAGGCCUAGAUAACCAAUAAAAUACCCUGAGGUAGUUUGCCUUGGUCAUGAGGUUGAAAAAAGGCGUUUGCAACAUGGAUAAUUUCUCACCUUUUACUUUAAGGGAUCAUUUUAAAACCUCGCAUAGUGGACCUUCUUUAUUUCAUAUACUCUUUUAACUUGACUGGUUUGGUCAAGUUUGUACUGGCUAAUCGCUCAUACUGCCUACCCUACCAUCCACCCCACCCCACACAUGCAAUUUUUCACGAAACUGGGAAAAAAAAUUGAAGAGAGAGGUUGGGAAGUUCUGUUUGUAUAUUGCUCUUUGAUGCUAGUCAGGGAUGGUGUGAUGAUAGCAUCUUAAUUUUAUAGUUGUGAUUUUACCAGUUAAGAAUUUGAUGUGUAUAUUCUUCUACUUAAUUGAGUGGAUUUGAACACAUAAAUCAAUGGAGAUGAACUUAAAAAUCAUGCUUUUUCCUAUUAGAGCUAGGCAGUGUAUUAUCACAUUCAUAGAAUGUCAGUUAUUCCUCGGGUUCGUAUUUCCCAAGUUCAAGUCAGGUGUAAAGAUGUAAUAACGCUGUUUGGCGUUUCUUGUGGCGUAAGUGAGGCCACACUUCAGUGUUGCAGUAUUUACUUUGUGUAUUCCUCUACUGUUCACUUACUUUCAUUGGAAUUGUGUAUCGAACAUGUAUUUGGAGUAAUGUGUUGUAAAAGUUCUUUAAUAAAUAAUUGCAC
rnacentral:lncRNA from 1 species